rnacentral:rRNA from 1 species
CGGAAUCUGCCUAUUUGUGGGGGAUAACGUAGGGAAACUUACGCUAAUACCGCAUACGACCUACGGGUGAAAGCGGAGGACCUUCGGGCUUCGCGCAGAUAGAUGAGCCGAUGUCGGAUUAGCUAGUUGGCGGGGUAAAGGCCCACCAAGGCGACGAUCCGUAGCUGGUCUGAGAGGAUGAUCAGCCACACUGGAACUGAGACACGGUCCAGACUCCUACGGGAGGCAGCAGUGGGGAAUAUUGGACAAUGGGCGCAAGCCUGAUCCAGCCAUGCCGCGUGGGUGAAGAAGGCCUUCGGGUUGUAAAGCCCUUUUGUUGGGAAAGAAAAGCAGUCGGUUAAUACCCGAUUGUUCUGACGGUACCCAAAGAAUAAGCACCGGCUAACUUCGUGCCAGCAGCCGCGGUAAUACGAAGGGUGCAAGCGUUACUCGGAAUUACUGGGCGUAAAGCGUGCGUAGGUGGUUUGUUAAGUCUGAUGUGAAAGCCCUGGGCUCAACCUGGGAAUUGCAUUGGAUACUGGCAGGCUAGAGUGCGGUAGAGGGUAGUGGAUUCCCGGU